GGCGGGCCUCGCGGACGGCACCAGCGAUGUGGCCUUCGUGUGGCUGCCGCUGGUCGGGGCGGACCGUUUCCGCCGGGUCGUCG
rnacentral:tRNA from 1 species